GUAGUAUCCGGAUGCUUCCAAAUUUUAACCCCAACCCCACAUUGUAAUAGGUAAAUAGAGGGGGAAAUAUGGCAGCUCCUAGUAGACCAAAAUCUCUAGACCCUUGCAGGAGCAGCACAAAAAUACAUACCUGACACUUGACUGCAUCCAAUUAGGUUAUUUUUCAGUCCCCUCCUCUCCCCCAAUCCUACCAACAAAACAGAGAAGCGCAGCUGCUCCAUCUCACGGUGGUAGCACAACAAAGAAACCUGGAGCCUGUUGGUUCCAUUGCCCCUAACCCACCAAACUGCACAGACAAAAUAGUUAGCACGGGCUGUUGCUGCUCUUGUGUGACCAGAAAAAUCCAGGCUCGUACACAUCUCAAUGCAAAAGCAAUACAAAAACCAAAACAACAACAACAACAAAAACCAUAAUCAGCAACUGGUCAGUUUUGGACAUAAACCUGUGAAUUCUGCUGCAGAAACAGACAUCAAAUGUAGCUGCUCCUUGUCCACUAUGAAAAUCUGUCUCCUGGUGCAUCCUGACACAGGAGCACUUGAAAACUCCAGAUAUGAAGCUACAUCUUUCAGGGUCUUGCCUAUUUUUUUUUUCCAGCUAGAUUCCCAAAUGUUUACUGUCGAGGACAGGAAGCAAUUGUAACCAUUCUUUGACAUCAGACUGGCCUGCUUCUAACACAUUAUGUUUCGGGGAAUCCACAACAAGCCAUAUCUGACAUCUUGAUCUUUUAGACCCAGCCGAAUUUCAUGCCAGAACAUUGACAUUUGGCAGUGGAACUGCGUCGGUGCAUGAUCCCAUUGUACGUGGUUUUAGAUGAUCGACUCUUGGUUGAGAUUUUCCAGGCAGUCUAAAGAAUGGGGAGACAUAUUCUCCAUUACCUUUGCACACCUUUUGAUGGAUCAGUGUCUAACCCCCCCUAGACUGCUUGCAAGAUUCUCAUCACACUGGAUCCAGACUGAAGCCAGCGAGAUCCAGCUUUUACCGCUCUCCUGGCCAAGAAAGCUUCACUCUUCACCUGCUGCAGAAGAGAACUCAGAGAGGCAGCGUUUCCCUUCCGUUCCCUUGCGCCUAUCCCCAUUUCUUUCCCUUCUUCCCCUUUCCCACUGAUUUUCUCCCAGCCACCUACUAGUUCAUUUUCCCUCCAUUUUCUUUUUAAAUUCAGAAGUGCAUUUUAUUCCCCUCCUCCCCCCAAACUGGUGGGCUCCCCUCUCCUUUGGAAAAUGCUACGAUUGCUUUGUGGUUUGCUAGUGAGCAAAAAGGUGGAUGCCUCCAGGAGCAGAGCAGCUGGAGGCAUAAGUUACAGUUCCUUUAGGUGAAAGGCCCAUGGCAUGCUGUUUGACAACUUCUGUUCACAUGGGAAUUGGAGAACAAGGCCAGGUCAUGCUCUUGGAUGCGCCCUUAUGUCACUGACUAAACCAGCAGUUGUUACAUGUUUGUAUCCAAAAGCAGUAUUUGGCUUCAUAUUUUGAAACCUUAUUGCAAACGGAGAAGAACGUGAAUUUUCUGCUUGUUGUUUUUAACCCCAUGUUCUGUACCCAGAACAAUGCAAACCUAAAAGAAUUUCAAGACGAGAGGCUGAGUCUCCUCCCAGCUGUUAAUCAGGAGUCAAUGGGGUUACGCGGCUUUAAAAGUGUGAUACGUCCCUGAAAAGUGACAAGUAACCAGAGCCCGCUGUCUGCAGUCCUGAGCUCCACCUUUCAAGAUGGAGAAUGAUUUUUGAUCUCUGAAGCCGCACCACACAUCUUCCUGUAACAACAGCAGCUGCUUCACACAAGAUUGGCCAGCUGAAAACGUAGUCUUGAAAAGCAAAUGUUGAAUGUACAAUGCAAACAGCUUUGUUAACGGAAACAAAGUUGUAAUUGUUGGAGUCCACAUAUGUCUGAGCAACAUAUCAGGCAAGUAUGGAGGCACAAUCCUGCUGUUACUGGACCUUGAAUAUGUGGCUGUUUGGGGAGAGUUUACUGUGCUGAUUUUCCUCCUUCCAUCACUCAUUUCUUAUGAAUU